AGGCUCACCCCAGAUCUGUAUCCUGGCUGUCAAAGGGUUCUAGUGCCUACCAAAUCCCACCUGUUACCACCAUCUUGCCCCAUAAGCCUUUUUGGUCAGAGGCAAGGAGGGCUGACCUGGGGCUUCAGAGAGGUGUGAUGCAGAAGGGAGAGAGCAUUCGUUUCUGUUCUGAUGAUGUUGGGUCUGUUCUGCAGCUUCAGCUGCUUACUGUUUCCUGCUGCUGAACCUUUACUGAGCCCCAGACACUGCAAACACGUGGUCCUCCCUGGAAUCAGGGAGCCCAGGAACCAGGCCCACAUGUCCUUGAACGCCUGUGCCUGCUAUCUCAGGAGGAGGAGGAGCCAGUGCUGAGCCUAUCAGGCCUGAUAAUAAGGGAGGCAUCGUGUUCUCAACUGCACCCAGACAGUUGGCCAAACCCAACUCCCAUGCAGGAGGCUAGGAAUUGAUGGCAGGACCCUCUUUGUCCUGUUAUGAUUAAAAGCAGACAUUUUCCAAGCCUAAGCCCCACCCAGUCCUCCCCAUGUCUUUCUCCACAGGCCUACUGCCUGGCUCCUUUUGACCUCAUCAAAGUCCGUCUACAAAACCAAACAGAGCCAAGGAUGCAGAUAGGGAGCUCUACACCCCGGUACCGGGGACCUGUGCACUGUGCAGCCUCCAUCUUGAAAGAAGAAGGACCUCAGGGACUGUUCAGAGGAUCCUGGG
rnacentral:lncRNA from 1 species